AGGAGGAGGAGGAGGACCGUGGUGACACUUAUGGCAGUGAUGAGAAGGAAGAUGUUGUAUUUUCAAAACGAAGUGAUAAUGUUAACAAUUAUCGCCAUGUGAAUGGAGAUGCUGUUGAAAGUAAUUCAGAUGGUGAUACAAGUGAUGGUGAUGAGUCGGACUCAAACGAUGGAGAUGAUAAAGGUAAUUUCAGUUUGAUUGAUGAUGCCACACGAUCAAUUUUAAUUGAAAGUUUAGAUAGAGACAAUAAAUGGAGAGUUGUCUGUCAGAACCUCAACUGUAGUUUUCUACUGAGGACAUUUUCAAGUGUAGCAAGCCCUUCCCGUAUCCUUCUUACCUACUUGGAGUUUGAAAAGAAGAUCUCCCUUUUGGAAUUCAAGAAUGCUCUUAAAAACCUAAAUGUUCCCGAAGCUACUAAGGCUUUGGAUAGAUUGCUUGUUUCAGAGCAAUAAGCUGUUUUUGUGGUGAGUCCCUUACCCCGUACCUUGUAACCAGAGAGUUUUCUGUGAACUGUACCAUAGAUGUAUGCAAUGUACAUAAUCUUAUUUUCUAUAUUGUAUUUUACAUUGAUAUGAGCAAAUGUCCUUCAUCACAGUUUCCUAUAAUUUUGUUAAAAAUCUUUUUCAAGAUUGAUUUUGCUUUUACCUUAAUUGCAAUCUUAUCACUGAUGUAUUUUUAUUUUGUUGCUGUCUUUGUAAGGGAUAUAUUACGAAAGUUUAAUCAUUUCACUAAUAUUGUCAAAGUUGUGAUUCGCAAUGACUUGUGAUAAAGAUUUAGAGAGCAUUGUGAGCAUGGAAAAGGAGUGAAGAGAAACCAAAAUAACUUAUUCUCCGCAUUCUUACAUUUAUUUUGAACUUAUAUGGUACUUACCCCUAGUUUGAUAUCACAAUUGUUAAUUUAAUAUGCAUUACUGAGAAUUUUAAAAGUAGUCUGAAGCUACUUCAUUUUUGUUUAUAUUGUUUUUAAGUUUUUAAAUACAGGGGGUGUACAAUACUAAUCUAAUAAAUAAGAUUCUUUUUCCUUGAAAA